CGGGGAGUAGCUCAGAUGGUUAGAGUACUGGUCUGGGGGACCAGGGGUCGCAGGUUCGAGUCCUGUCUCCCCGA
rnacentral:tRNA from 1 species